rnacentral:rRNA from 1 species
GAUGAACGCUGGCGGCGUGCUUAACACAUGCAAGUCGAACGAUGAAAGCGGGAGCUUGCUCCUGCUGGAUUAGUGGCGAACGGGUGAGUAACACGUGAGCAAUCUGCCCCGAACUCUGGGAUAAGCGUUGGAAACGACGUCUAAUACCGGAUACGACGCGCGAAGGCAUCUUCUGCGCGUGGAAAGAACUUCGGUUCGGGAUGAGCUCGCGGCCUAUCAGCUAGUUGGUGAGGUAACGGCCCACCAAGGCGACGACGGGUAGCCGGCCUGAGAGGGUGACCGGCCACACUGGGACUGAGACACGGGCCAGACUCCUGCGGGAGGCAGCAGUGGGGAAUAUUGCACAAUGGGCGCAAGCCUGGUGCAGCAACGCCGCGUGAGGGACGACGGCCUUCGGGUUGUAAACCUCUUUUAGUAGGGAAGAAGCGAAAGUGACGGUACCUGCAGAAAAAGCACCGGCUAACUACGUGCCAGCCGCCGCGGUAACAC